rnacentral:rRNA from 1 species
UUGGAGGGCAAGUCUGGUGCCCGCAGCCGCGGUAAUUCCAGCUCCAAUAGCGUAUAUUAAAGUUGUUGCAGUUAAAAAGCUCGUAGUUGAACUUCGGGAUCAAUGGAUCGGUCAUGCCGUUGGUAUGUACUGGUCACAUUGGUUCUCACCUUCUAAGGAACCAUGAUGUCAUUCAUUUGACGUUGUGGGGAAUUAGGACUGUUACCUUGAAAAAAUUAGAGUGUUUAAAGCAGGC